rnacentral:rRNA from 1 species
ACGAACGCUGGCGGCGUGCUUAACACCUGCAAGUCGAACGGAAAGGCCCUGCUUUUGUGGGGUGCUCGCGUGGCGAACGGGUGAGUAACACGUGAGUAACCUGCCCUUGACUUUGGGAUAACUUCAGGAAACUGGGGCUAAUACCGGAUAGGAGCUCCUGCUGCAUGGUGGGGGGUGGAAAGUUUCGGCGGUGGGGGAUGGACUCGCGGCUUAUCAGCUUGGUGGUGGGGUAGUGGCUUACCAAGGCUUUGACGGGUAGCCGGCCUGAGAGGGGAGCCGGGCGCAUGGGACUGGAAAUGCGGCCACGACCCCACCGGGAGGAAGGAGGGGGGAAUUGGGCCAAAUGGGGGGAAGCGUUGUGCACAAACCCCGGGUGCGGGAGGACGGCCUUCGGGUUGAAAACCGCUUUCCCCGGGGACGAAGGGUGGGUGGCGGUAAUGGGGAAAGAAGCACCGGCUAACUAAGU